AACCAUCGGCCGGGAAUCGAAACCGGGGCGCCCGCGUGGCAGGCGAGCAUUCUACCACUAAACCAAAGGCAAACGGU